AGAUGCUGAAGACACCAAAAUAAUGAAGAGUAAGUUGAGUGAACUGGAGAACAGAGUCAACGAGCGAACUUUAGAACUUCAGAGAAAUGUAGAAAACCU